CUAUUUUUUCAAGGGGAGGAAAUUCAAUGGACGUUACCCUGAGGGAAUUAAGCAUUGGGCUAAAUUUCCGUGCCAAGCAGCCCGCGGUAAAGACCGAGGAAUGCAAAGUGUUUUCCGGAAUCACUGGGCGUAAAGCGUCUGUAGGUGGCUUAACAAGUCAACUGUUAAAUCUUGAAGCUCAACUUCGAAAUCGCAGUCGAAACUGUUAGGCUAGAGUAUAGUAGGGGUAAAGGGAAUUUCCAGUGGAGCGGUGAAAUGCGUAGAGAUUGGAAAGAACACCGAUGGCGAAGGCACUUUACUGGGCUAUUACUGACACUCAGAGACGAAAGCUAGGGUAGCAAAUGGGAUUAGAUACCCCAGUAGUCCUAGCCGUAAACAAUGGAUACUAGAUGUUGGGCAGAUCGACCUGUUCAGUAUUAAAGCUAACGCGUUAAGUAUCCCGCCUGGGAAGUAUGCGCGCAAGCGUGAAACUCAAAGGAAUUGACGGGGGCCCGCACAAGCGGUGGAGCAUGUGGUUUAAUUCGAUGCAACGCGAAGAACCUUACCAGGGUUUGACAUGAUACGAAUUUUUUUGAAAGAAAAAAGUGCCGUUUGGAACGUAUACACAGGUGGUGCAUGGCUGUCGUCAGCUCGUGUCGUGAGAUGUUGGGUUAAGUCCCGCAACGAGCGCAACCCUUAUUUUUAGUUGCCUUUUAUGGAACUCUAGAAAGACUGCUGGUUAUAAACCGGAGGAAGGCGGGGAUGACGUCAAGUCAGCAUGCCCCUUACACCCUGGGCUACACACGUGCUACAUUGGGCGAGACAAUGAGACGCAAACCUGCGAAGGCUAGCUAAUCUAUAAACUCGUUCUAAGUUCGGAUUGCAGGCUGCAACUCGCCUGCAUGAAGGUGGAAUCGCUAGUAAUCGCUGGUCAGCUACACAGCGGUGAAUCCGUUCCCGGGCCUUGUACACACCGCCCGUCACACCAUGGAAGCUGGUUAUACCCGAAGUCAUUACUCUAACCAUUCGGAGGAGGGUGCCUAAGGUAGAAUUAGUGACUGGGGUGAAGUCGUAACAAGGUAACCGUA
rnacentral:rRNA from 1 species